UAAUGCUGAAGCUUGUGUUUGGUCUAAUGGAAAAUCUUCUUGCGCUUCAAAUUCUGCUUCCUCUACAUCCAGCAACGGUGCUUGGUUCUCACAAGAGCUAGAUUCAACAAAUCAAAAUAGGCUGAAAUGGGUGCAGAAGAAUUACAUGAUUUACAAUUACUGCACUGAUACAAAGAGAUUUCCUCAGGGCCUUCCUGCAGAAUGCAGAACCUCCUAGAGAAAAUAAUCAACAAGACGCUUAAAAAUUAUUUUAUUCUUUCGUGUAAUCAUUCAAUGGUUAUUCAAUUCAUGUAGAUUCUGGAGUCAGAUUCUUUGUUUCUCUGUAAUCAAUAAAAUGGCAUAUUAGUCCAAUUUUUACCAUAUGUAACACUGGUUAAUGAAUUUUAAAAAGGAUAAUGUUAUGCGUACUUGCGUGGUAUACAAAUUAAGUAUGCUAACUAAGUAAACAUAAUAUUACUAUUUCAAAAGAUUUUGUUCUUCUUUGUUGUUAUUCUUCGUAAGCUUUAGCAUAUAGUUAUAAGCCUAAUUAAAGGUAUUGACAUGAUGACUCAUUAAUAAAGCUUUUAGACCCUAGAUUGGAAUAUGACGAAUUAUCGAGGAUGCAUGAAGAUAAGAGCAAAUGAGUCUCCACCAGAAUGAGAAGAAAAUAUACUGCGUGUGAGCGUUACCGUAUUUGUGUCAAUCGAGGAGAAAUUUUAGCCAUUGAUUAGUAUUUAGAUAAGGCAGUAAAAGGGUAAAAUGGCAGAAAUAAACUAAAAAAAUAACAGAGUGAACUUGCACAAGUCGAUGAGGAAGAGUGAUGCAUACCGUUAUUGUUGUACGUGUUAAUUAAUAAUGAGAGGGGGACAAGCUGCGAGCCAGCUCUCAAGAGUUGAUUUUUCAAGGCGAGUCAACCCCGCCAUGCCACCACCGCCUUUCCAGAUAAACAAAUUAAACAUUCUCUAGUAUAAGUGGUAAUAUACAAAACAGGAAACAGGGCUUUUGUACACAGCAAAAUCUUCAGUCCGUUCGAUUUAAAUACCAAUAUCUAUAAAUUCCUUAAUAAUAAUAAUAAUAAGCAUAUCUUCCAGUUCUAUAUGUGUUUUAUUACAUACGAACCCACCGGAAAGUAUGUGUUAGUGUUGUGAAAAUUUUAAUAUAUUCGCAAGUGCACGAAUCUAGAGAUAGAAUUGUGAUAACGAGAUCGAUCCCACAUGGAUUGUUAUAAAUUAAAAAGUCUAAUUUAAAUCUAAAAUUAAUAUUAAUCCUAACCUAGUUGAGCAAAUUGAGUUUCAAAAGAAAUUAAACUAAUUAAACUAAGAAAACAAUUAAAGUAAAUGAGAUUUCAAUGAGACAAAAAUUACCAAGGUUUCGGAAUCCACCACUAGUCAAUUAGUAAUUAUCUAAUUAUUAAUUAAUCCCUAAUUUUAGAGUGACAACUCGAAAUCAAUCUAUGUCAUCUCAUAAAUAUAAUAAUUAAGCCCAAUUAAAAUUAAUCUUGUGUAUGUUAUUUUUCUGCUUAAUAGUAUGAUAUCUAAGUAUCCCAUGUAAACAUAUUAAAUAACAAAAAGUCAAAAUUUUCCUAAGCACUCUAUGUAAACAAUUUAAUGAAAGAUAUAGAAUCAAAGAUAAUAAUGUAUAAACUUUAUAUAUCCAAGCAUAGAUUUAAUCGAACAUUAAUCCUAACAAUCAAUAAUACAUGAUAGAAUUGAUGAAAAGUUUUUAAUAACAUAUAAUUAAUCAUGUGAAAUAAAAACUAUAAUCAUUAAAGAACAUAUAUAGGAAAUUAAAUAAAUAAAAAGAUAAUUAUUUCAUUAAAUAAGGUAUCAUCUUUAAUCUUGGUAUAAGAAAAUUAGUUAGACAUACUUAAAUUGGGAGUAACACAAAAAAUAAAAUCACUCAUAGAAGCCGAACUGCUGCUGCUCUUCGUCCCGAAGCCGAACUGCUGCUGCUCUUCGUCCCGCGGCUUCUCUUCUGGCGGCCGCCUUUCCCUCUUGCAAAAG
rnacentral:lncRNA from 1 species